GAAGAUAAUGGUCUACUUUCAUUCUUUUGCAACUCACUGUCUAGUUAUCCCAAAACCAUUUAUUGAAGAGACUUUCCUUUCUCUUUUGUAUGUUCUUGGCUUCUUUGUCAAAGACUAGCUUCCCAUAACUGUGUAGUUUUACUUCUGGACUCUCAGUUCUGUUCCAUUGAUCUCUGUGUUUUUCUGCUAGCAUCAUGCAGUUUUGAUUACUAUAGCUUUGUACUAUAAUUUGAAUUCAGGGAGUGUUAUACCUCCAACUUUGUUCUUUUUUCUCAGGAUUGCUUUGGCUAUUCAAGAUCUUUUCUUGUUCAAUAUAAAUUUUAGGAUUCUUUGUUCUAUUUCCAUGAGAAUGUCAUUGGGAUUCUGAUUGAGAUUGCACUGAAAGAAAUCAUCAACAAAAUAAAAAGACAACCCAACUUGGAGGAAAUAUUUGCAAAUCCUAUAGCCAAUAAGGGUUAAUAUCCAAAAUAUAUGAACAAUUCAUACAACUCAACAACAACAAAAAACCAAGCCAUGGGGCUGUCCCCACAAAGCUCUUUUUGUUCACCACUUUCCACCUACAAGAAGGCCUGCUACAGAGGCAAGGGAUCAAACCCCAAGAAGACAGGACCCAAUGGACUGAUAAUGUUGGGAAGUGGCCCUUCCAUUUUACAUCUAUUUACAAAGGCAUUUCCAUCCACAAAGUCAGUCUUUCUUUGCUUCCUGACCUGGAUCAGGUGCAGGAGCUAACUUUCACAGCUGAAUAGAUAUUGUCAUCCAGGUAGUUUUGUUAUUUAAAAUUGCCUUGAUUAAUUAGUUCCUCUGGAAUUUGUUUAGAGGUGAGGCAAAUAAUUUCUUUCAACUUUAGUAAUUGCCCAUCUCCUGGCACCCAAUCAAUCUUAAUGAUGCCCUAAGGCAUUUGUUAGAGAGGAUCAGUAGCCAGGUUGGGCCUUGGGGCCUCAGUUUCACACUGGUAAGAAUAGUUUAAGUUGGCAUUUUGCUGUAAUGG
rnacentral:lncRNA from 1 species